UGAACAUAAGAGUUUGAUCCUGGCUCAGAUUGAACGCUGGCGGCAUGCUUUACACAUGCAAGUCGGACGGCAGCACAGGGAAGCUUGCUUCUCGGGUGGCGAGUGGCGAACGGGUGAGUAACAUAUCGGAACGUACCGGGUAGCGGGGGAUAACUGAUCGAAAGAUCAGCUAAUACCGCAUACGUCUUGAGAGGGAAAGCAGGGGACCUUCGGGCCUUGCGCUAUCCGAGCGGCCGAUAUCUGAUUAGCUGGUUGGCGGGGUAAAGGCCCACCAAGGCGACGAUCAGUAGCGGGUCUGAGAGGAUGAUCCGCCACACUGGGACUGAGACACGGCCCAGACUCCUACGGGAGGCAGCAGUGGGGAAUUUUGGACAAUGGGCGCAAGCCUGAUCCAGCCAUGCCGCGUGUCUGAAGAAGGCCUUCGGGUUGUAAAGGACUUUUGUCAGGGAAGAAAAGGCUGUUGCCAAUAUCGGCGGCCGAUGACGGUACCUGAAGAAUAAGCACCGGCUAACUACGUGCCAGCAGCCGCGGUAAUACGUAGGGUGCGAGCGUUAAUCGGAAUUACUGGGCGUAAAGCGGGCGCAGACGGUUACUUAAGCAGGAUGUGAAAUCCCCGGGCUCAACCCGGGAACUGCGUUCUGAACUGGGUGACUCGAGUGUGUCAGAGGGAGGUGGAAUUCCACGUGUAGCAGUGAAAUGCGUAGAGAUGUGGAGGAAUACCGAUGGCGAAGGCAGCCUCCUGGGAUAACACUGACGUUCAUGUCCGAAAGCGUGGGUAGCAAACAGGAUUAGAUACCCUGGUAGUCCACGCCCUAAACGAUGUCAAUUAGCUGUUGGGCAACUUGAUUGCUUGGUAGCGUAGCUAACGCGUGAAAUUGACCGCCUGGGGAGUACGGUCGCAAGAUUAAAACUCAAAGGAAUUGACGGGGACCCGCACAAGCGGUGGAUGAUGUGGAUUAAUUCGAUGCAACGCGAAGAACCUUACCUGGUUUUGACAUGUGCGGAAUCCUCCGGAGACGGAGGAGUGCCUUCGGGAGCCGUAACACAGGUGCUGCAUGGCUGUCGUCAGCUCGUGUCGUGAGAUGUUGGGUUAAGUCCCGCAACGAGCGCAACCCUUGUCAUUAGUUGCCAUCAUUCGGUUGGGCACUCUAAUGAGACUGCCGGUGACAAGCCGGAGGAAGGUGGGGAUGACGUCAAGUCCUCAUGGCCCUUAUGACCAGGGCUUCACACGUCAUACAAUGGUCGGUACAGAGGGUAGCCAAGCCGCGAGGCGGAGCCAAUCUCACAAAACCGAUCGUAGUCCGGAUUGCACUCUGCAACUCGAGUGCAUGAAGUCGGAAUCGCUAGUAAUCGCAGGUCAGCAUACUGCGGUGAAUACGUUCCCGGGUCUUGUACACACCGCCCGUCACACCAUGGGAGUGGGGGAUACCAGAAGUAGGUAGGGUAACCGCAAGGAGUCCGCUUACCACGGUAUGCUUCAUGACUGGGGUGAAGUCGUAACAAGGUAGCCGUAGGGGAACCUGCGGCUGGAUCACCUCCUUUCU
rnacentral:rRNA from 11 species